rnacentral:rRNA from 1 species
GAUAAACGCUAGCGGCAGGCUUAACACAUGCAAGUCGAGGGGCAGCAUAGAUUGUAGCAAUACAAUUGGUGGCGACCGGCGCACGGGUGCGUAACGCGUAUGCAACCUACCCGUCACAGGGGGAUAAUCCGGAGAAAUCUGGUCUAAUACCCCAUAACAUAUGGAUCGGCAUCGGUUCAUGUUGAAAUUUUCGGAGGUGACGGAUGGGCAUGCGUAGCAUUAGCUUGUUGGUGAGGUAACGGCUCACCAAGGCGACGAUGCUUAGGGGGACCGAGAGGUUUUCCCCCCACACUGGUACUGAGACACGGACCAGACUCCUACGGGAGGCAGCAGUGAGGAAUAUUGGUCAAUGGGCGCAAGCCUGAACCAGCCAUGCCGCGUGCAGGAUGACGGCUCUAUGAGUUGUAAACUGCUUUUGUACGAGGGUAAAGUGGGUUACGUGUAACCUUUUGAAAGUAUCGUACGACUAAGGAUCGGCUAACUCCGUGCCAGCAGCCGCGGUAA